rnacentral:rRNA from 1 species
CCUCCGCCGGGGUCCGAGUUGUAAUUUGUAGAGGCUGUUUCGGGUACGGCCCCGGUCUAAGUUCCUUGGAACAGGACGUCAUGGAGGGUGAGAAUCCCGUGUGUGACCGGGGACCACGCCCAUGUGAAACACCUUCGACGAGUCGAGUUGUUUGGGAAUGCAGCUCAAAAUGGGUGGUAAAUUUCAUCUAAAGCUAAAUACCGGCCAGAGACCGAUAGCGCACAAGUAGAGUGAUCGAAAGAUGAAAAGCACUUUGGAAAGAGAGUUAAAAAGCAUGUGAAAUUGUUGAAAGGGAAGCGGAAGCAACCAGACUCGCUGCCGGGUGCUCAACCGGGGUUCUCCCCGGGGCAUUCGCCCGGCCUCGGGCCAGCAUCGGUUCGGACGGCCGGACAAAGGCUCCGGGAAUGUAGCUCCCUCGCGGGGGAGUGUUAUAGCCCGGGGUGGAAUGUGGCCAGCCCGGACCGAGGAACGCGCGUUUCGCACGGAUGCUGGCGUAAUGGUUGUUCCCGGCCCGUCUUGAAACACGGACCAAGGAGUCUAACAUCUAUGCGAGUAUUUGGGUGUCAAACCCACAUGCGGAAUGAAAGUGAACGGAGGUGAGAGCUCGCACGGGCGCAUCAUCGACCGAUCCUGAUGUCUUCGGAUGGAUUUGAGUAAGAGCAUAGCUGUUGGGACCCGAAAGAUGGUGAACUAUGCCUAACUAGGGUGAAGCCAGAGGAAACUCUGGUGGAGGCUCGCAGCGGUUCUGACGUGCAAAUCGAUCGUCAAAGUUGGGUAUAGGGGCGAAAGACUAAUCGAACCAUCACCACUGCUAGGUGGUUAAGAGGCGGGGCCGGGCCCCGGGGUGCCACCCCGGAGCCGCCCGCUUAGUUCCUCGACACGAGGGGCAACACCGUCAAAUUGCGGGGACCUCCCGGGCCGCACUGCCCGGGACGAUCCGCAGCGAACCCCUCCGGGCCCGCCCCGGAGGGACAGUCCACAGGCUAGACGACGGUGGUGCCGCCGCGCACUUGAGGGAUAGUCGACCCGGCGUCACCGCCCCGGGCACGUGUAUAUG